rnacentral:lncRNA from 10 species
CUUACUAUAUGAUAUUUUGUUAUAGCUGCUCAAAUGGACUAACACAGAGACAAUUCCCAGCCUGCCCAAAGAGCAUCAGGAAGUGUUGGGUACAGUAAAGCUGGAACAGAGCCACGAGGGGAAGAGCAACAGGGCUGUGAUCAAAGAGAUGUUACAUCCAGUUUUUGCCUACAAAGAAAAACAAACUGCUAUGAAUAAAUUUAUAUCUGUCUCUAUCGUGUGAAUACACACCCUCAUUUAUUUUUGGAAUAUACCUAUUAAUUGAAUUAUGAUGUCAUUGGGUAUGUGCGCAGUUUAACUUUAUAAGAAAUAGCCA